rnacentral:ncRNA from 1 species
UAAAUGUUUAGGUUCCAUUUUGGAAUAAUAGAGAAUUGUGUUAGAAUCACAAGCGGACCAGCCACUGUAUUUGGUUACGACUUUUCAUUACCACUGGGAAACCGGGAAGGGAAAAGUAUUUAAGCCAUAAGUCAGGAUAACUGCCUAAAUCU